UUAGAUGGGCUUUAUCGUCCCGCAAGCA
rnacentral:tRNA from 1 species